UACAGAGGUCUCAAGCGUUGUUCGGAUUCAUUGGGCGUAAAGGGUGUGUAGGCGGCGCGGUAAGUCGGGUGUGAAAUCUUGGAGCUUAACUCCGAAACUGCAUUCGAUACUGCCGUGCUUGAGGACUGGAGAGGAGACUGGAAUUUACGGUGUAGCGGUGAAAUGCGUAGAUAUCGUAAGGAAGACCAGUGGCGAAGGCGGGGUCUCUGGACAGUUCCUGACGCUGAGGCACGAAGGCCAGGGGAGCAAACGGG
rnacentral:rRNA from 1 species